ensembl:lncRNA
GCAUGUUUUUCCCGUACUGAAAAACGUUACGAGGUCUCGCAAAGAUCUAAUUAUCUGGCAGUGUUUCUCCGCACAGCACUGCCCCGUGCAGUGUCUGCGGGGCGGCAGCCCUGCACCCCCCCUGCUCCCUUCCCCUCUGGCCACGCAGGAGGCACCGCUCUCCCUCCCUCCCCGGGCCGCGGGGCGGAGCAGCCCGCGCCGCCUCUCGGCCUCCUGGGCGGCCCCGCGCCGCCGCCGCCGCGCUUGGCUCCUCGGGGCCGCCGUAGGCGCCGCGCUUCCGGUGUGCGGCCGGAUGACGUGGCCGGGGGGAGCGGAAGUGGCGUCGGCUGGUCGGCGUUGGCGGCGGGGCGCGGGCCGGCUCGGCGGCGGGGCCUGCUGCGUGCGCGGGGACGCCCAGGGCCGAGAUGGCGGCGCCCGGCCUGCUGCUGUGCGCGGCCGCCGCCGCGCUGCUCCUGCUCCGCCUGCCGCUGCGCGCCCGCGCUGACGAGCACGAGCACACGGUGGGUGGUGGCUCGGCCGCGGCCCGGCCCGGCGCGGCGCGGCCGCCUGACGGGGGGAGCGGGGCGGCGGCUUCGCCGCGGGCGCGGCGCGUCCCGUCCCGUCCCGUCCCGACGGCGCCCUGGGCCUGCCGGGCGCGGCGCGCUCGGGCGCCCCCGGGCUGCUCUCCGCCAGCGCGGCCUCCUGGCGCUGCGCGGCAGCGGGGGAGCCGCGGCGGCGGGCCGGUGCGCGCUGCGCCCGUGGCGCCGCGUCCGCCUUUUCCCGGAGCAGCGGGCGCCGGCGCGGGGGCGCCGCCUUGGUGCGGGGAGGCCCGGGCUGUGUUUGCCCGCGCUCUGCCUGAGCGCCGGCUGCUUCCGGGAGGGCGUUAGCGGGCGAACCGGGUCGAGGGGCUGCCCUUGCGCGCCCGCCGGAACGGGCUGCAGCGGGGCAGCUCCCGGCAGGGGAGCAAACGUGUCCUGGCGGGUGCGAACCGAGGGGCAGAGCAGGCCCGGGGGCUGCCUGGCGUGGGCGCGGACACGGUUCCCUACAGAAAAUGCGUUCAUAAAACGCUGUUGA